UUCUCAACCUCAUUCAUGGAUUUAGAAUAACUUAGUUUCUUUUGCACUUUCUUCAUUUCACAUAUUUCGUAUUCAGCGACACAUUAAGGAAGUAAAAGAUGAUUGAUGAUCGAGACUUGGGAUUCAUUGCCAACUCUCUUGGCAUCUUCAUUUUUGUAUUGGUAAUAGCAUAUCACUUGGUCACAGCAGACCCCAAAUAUGAAGCCGCAUAGAUACUUAAUACUUUGAAUUUUCUUAUGCCAUACUCAGAACACAAGUUUUAUGGAUUCAAUUUUGUUUAUUGAUCUUUUAGGUCAGUUUGUAUGACUUAAUAUUGGUGAAACUGAAGCCAGAGUUUAUGAUUUAUGCAAACUAAAUCUUCAAUAUUUACAACCAUUUGUUAAACAUUAUAGAUAGAUUUUCUGUUGCUUUGUCUACUGGUUUUGAGCACUGUUUCAUCUUUUGUUGUGUUUUGUCAGAAACAGUUCCUCAUGAUAAUUUAGAGAAAUUUUGCUUACAUAUGACGGGAAUGGAUUCUCUCUCUUGUAAAAUAAAAAUUGAGUGUAGAAUGCUAGAAAUUAGAGAGCUGAUUAGGAUGCUAGAGCUCAGAAGGGUUUAA